rnacentral:lncRNA from 1 species
GAGGGAUUGCACUAGUAUUGCCAUUCACUCUCUUGCAUGUUGGCAGGAGAUAGGAUUUGUUUGAUUAAUGUCUUUGGUGGUCAUCAAGUAUAAGAACAUGAUUAGUGUCCUUCAUUAACACAAACUUGUGUAUCAUAUGAAGUAUAGAUUUCUCUAUUAACACAGCUCAAAACACUACAUGCUCCUGCUCUCUUUCAUGCGACCGAGGGAUCGAAGGCGACGUGCAGCACCUGUUCAAGCUCAUGGAUUGAACCUAUUAUUUAUGGGUCUUCGUCUUUGUACACGGGAGUAAUCCUGAUUCCACCACCAAGGCAUCAUCUUCUUCUUCUCCUUCGUCGUCGCCGGUCUCCGCUGGUCAUGCAGCCUAAUGGCACCUUAAACAUCCAGCAAAGCACAAAGACUGAGACUUAGCUGAGAAGCACUGCAAAACAAGAUACAUGAUUGAUCGAAGAGAUGCAGUACCGACAGUAGCUUGUCGAUGGAGCAAGGAGAGGCCUGCAAGCAUGAGAAGCAGCACCCAAACCACCACUCUAACACACCUCAUCUUCAUCCCUCUCACUGCUAACUCUGAGACACACUCAUCGAGUCAAAAGGAAGGAGAUUUAGGGAGGCAGAG